GAGCCGUAUGCGAUGAAAGUCGCACGUACGGUUC
rnacentral:misc_RNA from 1 species